rnacentral:lncRNA from 1 species
GGGAAUCUUUACCCAAAAGAUCUUCCCAAGAAAAUCAAGAUUUCACCCUCAAUUUUGCGGAUUUGUCAAAGAACACAAGAGAGGGGAUUUUUGGAAAAUCUCAAAAUCCGAGGUGCUCAUGCAUGGAUUUGGUAGGGGAUCAUCCUAGAUGUUCUUGCACAUGUCCUAGAACCGAUUUGCUUCAAGAAAAACACCCCAAAUCGUUGCCAAUCGUAAAGAAAAAUCUCCAAAAAUACCUCGAAAAAACCGAAAAAAAUAAAUUUCAGAUUCAAAGAGGAUGGAAUAAGAUGGCACGAAAUUGAUCUUUGGACUACUUCACCAUGUCCGGUUACAAGCUAAUCCUAAGCACAAACAAAGCUUGGAUAACAAAAAGAUCAACAUAAAGAUCCCUCACCUCUCUUCCCUCACAUCUCUACCAAAAGCUCUCACAAACAAAUGAGAAUGCCACCACCAAAACAACCAAAGGGAUAGUUGCCCUAACCAUCUAUCUCUCAUAUAUAUAGACAUUUGGCUAUUUUCCAAGUUGCCCUUACAUGAAGUAUACAACUCCAAACCCCCUAGGGGCAAAACCGUCCAACUUUUUCUUCGUUCAUUGGACAGACCCGGCGCCUUCACAACUUAGCUUCGCCUCGACGCAAGAUUC